AAACUAACAAGGAUUCCCCCUAGUAACGGCGAGUGAAGCGGGAUGAGCUCAAAUUUGUAAUCUGGUGGACUCAGUUCAUCCGAAUUGUAAUCUAUAGAAAAGUUUUCCGCGCUGGACCGUGUCUAAGUCCCUUGGAACAGGGUGUCAGAGAGGGUGAGAAUCCCGUGCUUGAUACGACCACCAGUGCUAUGUGAUACUUUUUCAACGAGUCGAGUUGUUUGGGAAUGCAGCUCAAAAUGGGUGGUAAAUUCCAUCUAAAGCUAAAUAUUGGCGAGAGACCGAUAGCGAACAAGUACCGUGAGGGAAAGAUGAAAAGCACUUUGGAAAGAGAGUUAAACAGUACGUGAAAUUGUUAAAAGGGAAACGAUUGAAGUCAGUCGUGCUCUCUAGGACUCAGCCAGUUCUUCUGGUGUAUUUCCUAGUGAGCGGGUCAACAUCAGUUUAGAUCGCUGGAUAAGGUCAUUAGGAAUGUGGCUCCCUCGGGAGUGUUAUAGCCUAGUGUCGCAUACAGUGGUUUAGACUGAGGAACGCAGCUCGCCUUUAUGGCCGGGGUUCGCCCACGUCCGAGCUUAGGAUGUUGACAUAAUGGCUUUAAACGACCCGUCUUGAAACACGGACCAAGGAGUCUAACAUAUCUGCGAGUAUUUGGG
rnacentral:rRNA from 2 species